CAUCCUGGGGCUGUAGUAGGUCCCAAGGGUUGGGCUGUUCGCCCAUUAAAGUGGUACGCGAGCUGGGUUCAGAACGUCGUGGGACAGUUCGGUCCCUAUCCGUCGCAGGCGUAGGAAAUUUGAGAAGGCCUGUCCUUAGUACGAGAGGACCGGGAUGGACGUACCUCUGGUGUACCAGUUGUCCUGCCAAGGGCAUGGCUGGGUAGCUA
rnacentral:rRNA from 1 species